AGAAGCGGAUAGAAGGAUGACAAAUUACCAAUCCUGUCAAACUCUAUCUUUUCAAAUCCUCACCCCUUCAUCAUGGAACCCACACGAAGAAGAUCGUAUGAUGCAAGUUUUAAGUUGAAGGCCAUCGAUCUCGCGAUACAAGAAGGAAACCGCGCUGCUGCUCGGAAGCUUAGCGUCAAUGAGUCUAUGGUGAGACGCUGGAGGAGGCAGCGGGAAGAGCAAAACUUUUUAAAUAGAGCGGAUGCGGCUUAUAUGCAGGUGCGCUUUAUAGUCCAGAAUUUACGGUAUAU